rnacentral:rRNA from 1 species
UUAAAUUCGACACCCGAGUAUCCGGCCGGGAGGCGGGGUGCUGGGGGUUGGAUUUAACUUAGUGGCGGACGGGUGAGUAACGCGUGAGUAACCUGCCUUUCAGAGGGGGAUAACGUUCUGAAAAGAACGCUAAUACCGCAUAACAUCAAUUUAUCGCAUGAUAGGUUGAUCAAAGGAGCAAUCCGCUGGAAGAUGGACUCGCGUCCGAUUAGCCAGUUGGCGGGGUAACGGCCCACCAAAGCGACGAUCGGUAGCCGGACUGAGAGGUUGAACGGCCACAUUGGGACUGAGACACGGCCCAGACUCCUACGGGAGGCAGCAGUGGGGGGUAUUGCACAAUGGGGGAAACCCUGAUGCAGCAACGCCGCGUGAGGGAAGGAGGUUUUCGGAUUGUAAACCUCUGUUCUUAGUGACGAUAAUGACGGUAGCUAAGGAGAAAGCUCCGGCUAACUACGUGCCAGCAGCCGCGGUAAUACGUAGGGAGCGAGCGUUGUCCGGAUUUACUGGGUGUAAAGGGUGCGUAGGCGGCGAGGCAAGUCAGGCGUGAAAUCUAUGGGCUUAACCCAUAAACUGCGCUUGAAACUGUCUUGCUUGAGUGAAGUAGAGGUAGGCGGAAUUCCCGGUGUA